AUACAGAGGGUGCGAGCGUUAAUCGGAAUUACUGGGCGUAAAGCGCGCGUAGGCGGCUUGGUCAGUCGGAUGUGAAAGCCCCGGGCUCAACCUGGGAAUGGCAUUCGAUACUGCCAGGCUAGAGUAUGGGAGAGGGAAGUGGAAUUUCCGGUGUAGCGGUGAAAUACGUAGAUAUCGGAAGGAACACCAGUGGCGAAGGCGACUUCCUGGCCCAAUACUGACGCUGAGGCGCGAAAGCGUGGGGAGCAAACAGGAUUAGAAACCCUAGUAGUCC
rnacentral:rRNA from 1 species